UCUGGGAUUAGAUACCCUGUUAUUAAAAAUGUAAAUAAAUAAAAAUAGAGUAGUAUUAGUUAUAUUCUUAAAACUUAAUAAAUUUGGCGGUAUUUUAAUCUAUUCAGAGGAACUUGUUUUAUAAUUGAUAAUCCUCAUUAUAUCUUACUUAAUUUUAUUUAAUUUGUAUACCGUCGUCAUAAGAAUCUCUUAAAAAAGAAAAAAUUUUCUAAAAUUUUAAUUAAAAAUAAUGUCAGAUCAAGGUGCAGUUUAUAAUUAAGAAAAAAUGAGUUACAAUAAAAUUAUUUAUACAGUUUUAAAGAUAAAAUUCUUUAUUUAAGGUGGAUUUGAUAGUAAAAUAAACAAAAAAAUUUAUUUGAUUAUAGUUCUAAAAUAUGCACAAAUCGCCCGUCA
rnacentral:rRNA from 1 species